GGGGUGGGGCUGAGGCAGAAGCCAGGGAGAUGGUGGCUGCAGUGAGCUGAGGUCACACCACUGCACUCCAGUCUAGGUGACAGUGAGACCCUGUGUCGAAAAAAAAGAAAACCCCCAAAAAACAAAAACUAAAACUAACAGAAUUAGCCAGGUAUGGUGGCUCAUGUGUGUAGUCCCAGCCUGGUAUAGCGGUACACAUCUAUAAUCCUAGCUACUAGGGAGGCUGAGGCAGGAGGAUUGCUUGAGCCCAGGAAGUCAAGGUUGCAGUGAUCCAAGAUCUUGCCACUGCACUCCAGCCUGGUUGCCACAGUGAGACCCUGUCUCAAAAAACAAAAAAGACCAGUGUAAAUUAACUAGACUAAGGAGGAAAGUGGCAAAAGAUAUGGUAAAAUAGGUAACCAAAGGCCAAAUUAUGUAGGUUAGGGUAAGGAAUUAAGAUUCUAUUUCAAAUAUGAUGGGAUAUCACUAAAGGAUUUUAAAUAAGGGGAAAAUAGUAUGAUCUGAUUAAUGCUUCAUUUGAAAUCAUGGCUGCUAUGUAGAAAAUGGAUUGCAGAGGAGCAAGAAGGGGAAACUAGGAAACCAACCUGAAGGCCAAUGGUGGCAUGCAUUAUGAGGGUAGUGGGGAUCAGAGAGAAGUAAGCUGUGGUUUGGAGGUAGAAUUAUCAGGACAGCUGAUGGAACAGAUGUGGAGGGUGAAUGGAAAGAAAAAUCAAGGGUGACCCCUGGAUUUAUCAAGGUUCCUUGGCUUGAACAAACAGGAAAAAUGCUUUUAACUAAGGUAUUAAAAUUGGGAGAAGGAAGUUAAUGAGAGAUUUGUUUGUACAUAAAGAUGAUGGUAUGUAUCAGACAUCUAAGAAAUGUGUUGCUGAAAGUCAUUCAGAGAUCUUCUGACUGGGUCACAUUGUCUUUACUCAAACCUUUCAAAUCUGAAUCAAGAAGAUUUUUUUUUUUUUGAGAUAGAGUCUUGCUCUGUUGCCCAGGCUGGAGUGCCAUGGAG
rnacentral:lncRNA from 1 species